GGGGCUCCCAUCCCUCUCCUCCCCUCACACUACACUGUUUUUUUUAUCUGCGCACAGCAAAGUGAAGAACCAAAAAAAGGCCAUUUUUAAUUUUUUUAUUUUAUUUUUAUUCCAAAUCGAAGCGUAAAUCUUCUUCGCAAAGAUCAAGCUGUAAAUAUCCGGCAAGCGAGUUUUCGAAGAAAUCCGGUGUCCGCUGAAACGUUUUUUUGCGAUUUGGGUUUACAGUAUCCGGCAAGCGAGUUUUCGAAGAAAUCCGGUGUCCGCUGAAACGAUGGGCCUCAAGCUUCAAGUUCAACGACUGAAUCAUCCUUCGAUUGAAUAAAUAUUUAAUUGAAUUGUCAUGGUGGGGAUUGGCAUGAAUUUCUUUGAAAAUGUUGGUUGAAAUGGGUUGUCUUGGUUAAUUGAAUUUUGAUGAAUUUUUUUUGGUUGAUUGAAAUGAACCUCAAGCUUAAGUUCAACCAUCUUGGUUUUUUUUGUUGCUUGUAAGUUUAUGAACUUGUUUGUGUUUUAUCCUAAUUCUAUGUUGUGUAUAAGACUACAAGUGAAGUAAUGAUUUUGUUGUAAUUUUAUCA